rnacentral:rRNA from 1 species
CCCAGACUCCUACGGGAGGCAGCAGUGGGGGAUAUUGCACAAUGGGGGGAACCCUGAUGCAGCGACGCCGCGUGGGUGAAGGAGCGUUUCGGCGCGUAAAGCCCUAUCGGCAGGGAAGAAGGAGGACGGUACCUGACUAAGAAGCCCCGGCUAACUACGUGCCAGCAGCCGCGGUAAUACGUAGGGGGCAAGCGUUAUCCGGAUUUACUGGGUGUAAAGGGGGCGCAGACGGCAGCGCAAGCCAGGAGUGAAAGCCCGGGGCCCAACCCCGGGACUGCUCUUGGAACUGCGCGGCUGGAGUGCAGGAGGGGCAGGCGGGAUUCCUGGUGUAGCGGCGAAAUGCGUAGAUAUCAGGAGGAACACCGGUGGCGAAGGCGGCCUGCUGGACUGCGACUGACGUUGAGGCCCGAAAGCGUGGGGAGCAAACAGGAUUAGAUACCCCGGUAC